UUGGAAACUGAACAUUCUCUCUCUACCUCACGCGUCCGAAACGUCGGUAAACUAAGCAACCACGUCCUUCAGCUUCGCCUCACUCCUCCGAAGCCGUCUGUGGCAACCUUGCACGGCGGCGCGGCCUGUAGCGGCGGCGGCAAGCUUGUUUCGAUUUGAGUUCGAUUUUAGUCAACGACGGUUUUCUCCUAGCUCCGGCCACCAAAACUUCCGAUCCUUAGCUCUAUGAACUAGCCUCAACCUGCUGAUCAUCAUACCAGAAGGAUCGCACCUGGAGUGACCGGAUUCACGUUCGUCGGAGCUCGACUGUUUUUGAUCGAACACCAAAACCUUUCGAUCGUGAUAUCUCGAGUUGUAGUGCUUCGUUUUGAUUUAUUUUUGAACCAGUGGAUUCUACUUGAUGUUCUUAACAACUAUAUACAAGGAAUAGAGGCCUGAAAUUGAAGUUUUUACGUCGAAUUCGUGGCUCGCCGGUUUCUGCAUUUCUUCGCCGGUUUCUGGAAAAUUUCCGGCCACCUUCAAACUGUUCUAGGUGAUUGACGGUCUUCCUUGGUGAGCGGUUUUGGUGUGUAUUGUGAAAUUGAAGACACAGCGGGAUUAGAGCGGGUAGUCCUGCAGGUCAGGAGGAUCAUGGCGGAGAUAGUGUGGAUUAGAGUAUUGUUUUAGUUUUACAGCCUUGUAAAUUGUGAGGUGAGUGAUGCUCAAAUUGAGCUUUACAAAUUUACUUUGUACAAGUGAGUUGUAUUAAUUAAGUUGAGUUUUUUUUUAGAUUUGAAAUUUGAGUGGUGUGUGUUGUGGUUGUUUAUUCAUG